GGACGAUAAGACCCUAUAGAACUUAAAUUUUUAAAAAAAUAAAAAAAAGAAAAAUUUUACUGGGGAAGUAAAAAAACAAAACUUUUUUUUAAAAAAAACUUUUAAAAGAUUAUAAGAUCCUUAAAAAAGAAAAAAGAAUAAGUUACCUUAGGGAUAACAGAGUUAAAUUUUUUGAGAGACCAAAUCGAAAAAAAAUAUUGCUACCUCGAUGUUGAAUUAAGAUAAAUACUAAUAGAAAAAAAUUAGUUUAUUAGGUCUGUUCGACCCUUACAAUCUUACAUGAUCUGAGUUCAGACCGG
rnacentral:rRNA from 1 species